rnacentral:rRNA from 1 species
UACAGAGGUGGCAAGCGUUGUUCGGAAUUACUGGGCGUAAAGGGCGCGUAGGCGGUUCGUUAAGUCCUGUGUGAAAUCCCCCGGCUCAACUGGGGAACUGCACAGGAAACUAGCGGGCUUGAGUUCGGGAGAGGGAAGCGGAAUUCCGGGUGUAGCGGUGAAAUGCGUAGAUAUCCGGAGGAACACCGGUGGCGAAGGCGGCUUCCUGGACCGACACUGACGCUGAGGUGCGAAAGCGUGGGGAGCGAACAGG